UUGUACUCACUGCAUUUGUUCUGAUUUUAUUGUUGAAUAGAUUUAUUUAUUGUUCAAGUCAAUAUUGCUAAAUGCCACUUGAUUUGCAGGGGAGGGAUAGGCAUACUUGAGUUUAGUUUUAUUUUUGUUUGGUACUUACCAAAAUGUCAAAAUCUGAGAUCAAGCCAUAUCUCCUUCAGUAAGCAACAUGUGUCUAGCACCUGGGACAAACAUCAAGUGAUCAACCUCAGACAAUAGAACAGUUCUCCUGAAAUUAGUAUUUGGUUCUCAGACCCAUAGCCAUGAAUAACACCCACUUCUUAUGCUCAGAAUGUAAAACAUGAGCUCCAGGACAAAUGAUAAUAAAUGAGCCCAAAUGAAUUCCCCCCUCCAGGAAAUGAUUUAAUAAGUAAGGCUGCCCCAUCAGAUACUUCUCCAGGGAAUGUGAUGUAAGUGUAAGGUGAAGUACUAUCACAAAAACCUUGUGUGUAUAUUCUACCAGAUCUAUUAGCCAGGGAAAUACAAGCCAGGGUCAAGAUGACUAUACCCUUAAGCUGACAUUACAUAUCGUUUUGGCAGGAAGAGCUGUUUUGAGUUUCUUGAUCUCUCUGUAGAUGCUAAAACAAUCCUGCUGACCGCUGAGGACCUGUCCUGUUACCUCCACUCGCUUGUCACUGCCUCUGCUGCUUGCUGCAAAAGGAUGAUACAAAGAUCCAGUCAGUGACAGGAAAACAGAAAAAGAAAGCUGAAGAUCUUUGGGAAACUCCUGAGUGACAGAGGGAAAGAAGCACCUGAAAUACCUCAGGAUGUUUAGGAUCAGCUCGCCUGGCUGCUUCUGUCAACAGUUCACUCCAUUGUGGCCUUUUUUCUGUAUCUGCUAGAAGGCCGGACCAACAUGUUGAUUUUUCUUGCGCUGUCCUCCAUGCUCUGCGCUGAGGGACUAUAUUUGAAAUCAGUGAGUGAGCUGUGUGUUAAGAAAUAGCUCUGGCACUAAAACACUUAAAAUUACUCUUUGUUUCUCUGACUUCUCUCCUAAUUUGGAUUACCCCGCCGGACUUGCCCACGAGAUGGAAUACUAAGAAAAUAUUGUUUUGUUUAAUUUGUUUUUUGAUGUCCACAUUUCUCACAUUUCCUGUUCCAAUUUCAAAGUGAGUCUGAGCUCCUCCACUAACAUUGCUCCGGCUGUUAUUUUGGGGAUCUGAGAGAGGGGAUUAAAAAUAAACGAAGUCUGGGUAAUGCGUUUUCUUGCCACAGGUUCUCUUAGGCGAGCCAGUAAAAAGUUAUUGACAUUUGUCUCCUUUCAGGUUAAACAGAGGGAUUAGAUGAAGGGUAUUACUAACACAGGUCAAGGUAUUAAAAUAUGGAUGCCUAAAUUUAGGCUCCUAAUUUUGUAUUUUGAGCCCCUAAAUAAGGCUUGAUCUUAUGCCCUUUGAAGUCAAUGCCAAAGCAUUGACUGAGUUCAAUCUGAAGAUAAAGUCCUAAAUUAUUCUUAAAAGUUCUCAGCAUCUCACAUCUCCAAAUAAGUCAUCACCCUGCCUCUUUGCAAAUCACGCAUCUUUCCUUAAGUUCCUAAACAUGAGGCUCGUGCUUUUAGGUAUUCCAUAUUUAAAAUCCUGCCUGUUGAUGCUGUCUUUCUGUCUCAAGAGCCAUGGACAUGGGAGCCUAACAAGGCUAAUAAAGAAGUGUAGCUGGGACACAGACAGAUUUGCUUUUUUGGUGAGCAGUGCUUAGCACGAACACUGCAGAUUCUCUAGUAAUGUCAGUAUUUAUUACGGUGUAAAGUUAACAUGGAAGGCACAUGAAUGUCCUUGCUGGUGCCAGAAUUCAGCAAGUACAUGACCAUUUGCACAAA